AGGAAUGAAGAGGGCUGCCUUUGCAGCUGGCCAGAGAAAAAGAGGAAAGAAUAAAAUCAAAGGAAGAAAAGCAUACGGGGAGACAGGAGAGAUAAGAAUCCAAGGAGAGACUUGCGAGGUGCAGGAGAGGGGGAGGGACACGGCAUAAUUGGGAAGAAAGUGGAAAGCACUGAGGAAUUAAAUAGAAGGAGUGGAGAGACAGCGUGGGCAAUAGAGAAAAGCAGAAAACGUGAAAAGAAAUUGAGGGAGAGAUGAGUGAGAGACAGCUAGGAGGGCAGAGACGUGCGCAGCAACAGAAAAAAAUAAAAUAAAAAAAAGAUAGAGGAAAGCUGCCUUUGGGCAGCAUGAGCGCUAAGAAUAGAAUAGAAAAAUAAAAGGAAGGCUGUCUGGCAGCCUUGCCUUGAUGAGCGUGGGAAUAAAAUAAGGAGGAAGUGAGGAGGUUAGGCGUGGAGACAGAGAAGACUGAAGGCGCAGAAAUAAGAAGAAAAGAAGGGGGUCUUGGGCGGGAGAGGGAGCUGCCCUUUGGGCAGCUCGCAGAAGGUCAGCUCGCAGAGGCAGGAGGGGGAGCUGCCUUAGGCAGCGUAAGAGAAACAGAAAUAGAGAGACUUGCGAGAGAGGAAAGGAGAAGGGACGUGAGGAGCAAGGCGCGGGUAGCUACCCAAGGCAGCAGGAGGAGAGACGGGGGGGCGUCAAGGAAAAGAGGGAGCUGCCCUUUUGGGCAGCGUGAAAGUGAAGCUGCGGAGAGGAAAGAGGAGCAGACAGCUGCCUUGCUGCAGCAGAAAACCGAGGAGGACUCGGACUGGGUGAGACGAGAGGAGAAGUCAGAGCAGCGUGGGAGCCAGGAGCUGACGUGGAGGUCAGGAAGAAGGCAGAACAAAGGAGGUCAGCGCACAGGAAGCAGAAACACUCUCGCUCUCGGUUAAAUCUUUCCAAACUUCUAUUUUAUUUCUGUUUUAAUAAUGUGUAAUUAAAUUUUAUUUUGGCUAGAGGUUAAUUCAAAACCAUGAAUAUAUUUGUAAUAUGAAUUGAUUACCUUCGGUUGUGAUUUCAUAAGUUGUGAUUUCAAUUUACUUAUCCGUUCGUAUAAAAACUGAUUUGUGUAUGUUGGUUGAGAGUGCACGCUUAAUUUACAUGCAUGAAUUUGAUGCUAGAAUAUAAGUGAAUUUCACCUAAUCGUUAUGAACUUAUUUUCACAAGUAGUAAAGGUUGCUAGUCACAAUCACGUUAAGUAAAUUCUUGGCAAGAGUAUCAUGCUUUUCAUAGUUACGAAUGCCUCGUCAAUGCUUAUAGUUUUCACAAAGUUUAAUGAUCUUUGAUUGUAUCUCUAUUGUGCUUUUCACGUAGGGGACUUUUGAAGAAUGUUUUGAAUUGUUGUAUGCGUUUUCCCGUCCAAUUCAAUAACUUAAGGAAAACUUGAAGAUUAAAAAAGUGUUGUUCACGGUUAAUCUGGAGUAUUGAAAUUCACAAUUUAUUAAAUGAACAACUGGAAAUCAUUUUGUAUGCAAGUAUAACAUGUGUGGAGAAGAACCCUCUAGCUAGUCCGUCAUUUAUCAUUUUACCUUAAUUUCAUGUUUUUGUCAAUUCUGUAAUUUAAUUAAGUUUAAUUUACUUUUCAUCAAAACCAAACACCCAUCCAUUAUUAAAUUAUAUUAUUUAUUUAGUUUUCUUUAUUGUUAGUCUUUUAAUUUAAUUUCCGUCUAUUUCAGUUCCUAGUGUUUAAUUUAAUUGUUUCCAUUAUUUUGAGUCAUUUUAAGUGUGUUUCGAGUUAUUAGAGUUUUUAGCCUAGUUUUGUAUCCUUGAGUCUUGUUUAAUAUUUUUAAAUUAAUUUAGGAUAGAUUAGCAAUCCCUCCUAAUCCCCGGCCUAGAACGAUACCCUACUUACAUCUAUACUACAAUUGUCAAAAAGAGGGUUUAAUUUGUGUGUCAAGUAAUUUACGCAUCAAAUUUUGGCGCCGUUGCCGGGGAUUAGCAACUUUGCUAAUCCUUUUAUUUUUGUUUUUGUUUAUGUUUAUAUUGGUGUUUGUGUAUUUUACUUUUGAUAUUUGAUUUAUUUUUCUUUCUUUGAUUUUAGGUUCAAAUGGAGCCGAGGGAAAUUUAAAGGAAAGAUGCGUCCGGCUAAAGACGUUAAAUCAAACGCUUCUUGGGAGGCAACCCAAGCAUUCAACGAAGGGAGACUUUGGAAUCACUAACCCAAUCAGCUUUGCAUUCUUCCACCCUUAUCUUUACUGCUUUCAUUUUGUUUUGUUUAGUUAGUUGUGUUAUUUGGUUGAUUUCUGUGAGUUUGUGUUAUUUAGUUUAAGUGUGGGGGAAGGUUAACCAAAGUCUCUUUACAUUAAUUUACAUAUAUAAAAAAAAAAAAAAAAAAAAAAAAGAUAAAAUUUAAAAUUAAUGAUAAAAAAAAAAAAAAAACACAAUUAAAAAAAAUAAAUAAAAUAAAUAAAAUACAUAAAAUUAAAAAAAAAAAAAAAAAAUACAAAUAUUUUACAAUAAUGUAAACUAAUAGUAUUCAUUGGUCGGGUGGUGCUUCAGUAGUAGGCGGGGCUUCAGCAGUCGGCGGGGCCACAGAAGGAGGAGGCAGCAGAGGUUGAUCAGUUGGAGCUUCACUACGCGGUGCCGCUCCAGAAGACGAAGGCAGAUGUUGUUGGAACAAACCCACAAACCUCCGAUGAUCAAGUAAAAUUUGACCAUCGGUGUCCUGCAUCUGGUCAAUCUUCCUCUUCAUGCUGGUGGCAUAGCUGUGUGCGAGCUUGUGCAAUUCUUUAUUCUCAUGCUUGAGCCCUUUAAUCUCUUGUUUGAGACUCUGUAUUUCAGCCAGCCACCAACGACUCAACAUGACGUGUUCGAGCAUAUAGGCGUUGGGCCAUGUUGGACACAGAACUCGCACACUGCACGCUAAGAGCCAGAGACUCCUUAACCGCCAAUUCAUCAGACCGCCUAGCGAGCAGUCUGUUAUCUCUGGGGGUGACAAGGUUCCGGGCCACCACCGCAGCAGUCAUGUCAUUUUUCAUCACCGAAUCCCCACGGUAAGAGGACCGGUAGGGGAUAUGAAGGAUGGGCGCCAUAUAUUGUCUGGUGAAGGCGGAGCUGCCUCUUCACCAAUGUUCAAGUCAAAACGACGAUCGGAAGGGCCAGACAUUUUUCAGAGGUGGUGAAGAAAGAAGAGAGUCGGAAUGAUCAAGAUUAAACAAGUGCAAGAAGGGAGUGUUUACAGGAGGGAGCUCAAGUGUGUUGUGGAACAAGCUUAACGUCUCUAUAAAAAGGAAGAAAUCAAAGAGGCGCUCCUCAGAGAAGCGUCCUCUCGCAAAUCGAAGAGUCGGGGCUCCUUUCUCAAAAGCCGGAUUCUUUUCUCAAAAGAGGCGUUUCAUUUCUUAAAGGCUGGGCUUGCUCAGAAACCACGAGCCGAACCCCGGAUUUCAAAAGAUCAAUUUGUCCAGACGUGUCGUCACUUGUCACACGUAAAUUGCUUUGCGAAAUUCUCGGGCAGUUUGUCGAAGCACCAAUUCAGAAAUCGAAGAGGGAAAUUCAACAGUCAAAGACACGCUAGCUUUCUCAAAAGCUGGGCUUCAACCCACGGGCAAAUCUUCUUUUCCAGAUUUAUCCGCACGUGUCACAUGCUACCUCUACAAUCGACGUUGCUCAGAGCUCGAAGCGCCGAUUCCAGAUAUCAAUGAGGAAUCUGCUUUGCGGAAAUUACGGGCAGCUUUGUCAGAAAGCGCGUAAUUUGUACUAUUCAUCCAUCCACCGGCUGCCGACACUAAGUGAGAGAUAACAGUUCCGGUUGUGAAGACAAGUCCUAUAAGUUUCUACCUUCGCCUUCCACAGCAAAAGCACACUCUCUCAGCACACCCUCUCAACACUUCUUCAUCUCCGAAAAUGCAUUCCCAAAGAAUCCUCCUAAGUUACUCUGUGUUCCUCAUUCCUUGGGAUACUCCUGCGAACAACCCAUUCAAAGCAAAAGUAUUUCAUAUCAUGAAGGUUGAAAGCAAGAGUAUCUCAUAUCAUGCUUUCUCCCUGUCCUUUCUCCAGCCAGCACUUGCUCUCGAGUACUCAUCAUCUUGUGUUUCCUCUUCGUCUCUUACGUAUAAGGGAAGUGAAGAUGAUACCUCGAAGCAUGUGGAGACAACGUGCUGAUUCAUCCUCAACUAAGGACAAGGAGAAAGAGAGCAAGAGGUGGGCACUUGGAAAGAUUGAAGAAAGAAACAGACCAACACCUCUCCCUCGUGCCUGCCCGCCAUGCAGAGGAAACAAGCAGAGAAGAAUGCAGCUUGCACAAUCAUCCCAGCAGAAGGAGUCUGAGAUGAAGAACUAGAGAAGCUGCCACAUCUGCUUGGAGAACAAAUAAGGAACUGCAACAUUCCCAAAGAGCAAAGCCUUGCCGUACAAUAUCAUCAAAUCAUCACUUGCAAGUGAAAAGCUAAGUGUCACCCUGUUCAAGAGGAAAGCUGUGGAAAGUCAACAAGCACAACCAAUGAUUACUUAUUAGUUUUAUUCAUUAUCUUUUAUCGUAAUUUUCAAUUUUUCGUUUGCAAUUUUUUUUUUUUUUAAUUAAUUUUCUUGCGUUACUUAACUGAAUUACUUCUUUUCUUUGCAGGAACUUUUGGUUAUUUCCACCCUUGAAGUUGAUUGCAGAAUUUUAGCUUGGGGGUCAUCGCUUGAUUUUACUGCAAAUUAGGGAAGUUUUCAGUCUAAUUGCUUUAUUUUGUUUCUUAUUAUUUAUUUAUUUUAUUUUAUUUUUAUUUGCGUUAUAGUGUUUUCUGACAUUGGGGACAAUGUCAAGUUUAAGUGUGGGGGUAGAAAUCUCCAGAAUUUCAUUUGUUUCUGUUGUUGUUUUUUUGUGUUCUUAAUUAGUUUUGUUUUCUUUUAAAAAAAAAAAAAAAAAAAAAAAAAAAUUAAAUUUAAAAAAAAAAAAAAAAAAAAAAAAUCGGAAAAUUUAAAAAAAUCCAAAAAUAUUGUCUUGUUUCCCUUAUUGUUUUGAAUUAGAUUUUUUGUUAGUUUCCCUACCCAAUGAUAUAAUUGGAUCAAAUUUGAACCAUGAUCAUCAAGAACUUAGUUAACAUGUGUUUUGUGAAAUUCCUAAUUCUCUUGUUAGUUUUGUACAUGUUUGAUCAUCUUUGAAAAACCAAAUGCACAUAGCCUUGUUAAUGUGAAACUAAAGUAUGACUUAAAGCUUCAUAUGUGAAUUUAGUGACCAUAUACAUCCUAUGUGAGUUUUUGAGCCGAUUGAAAGUGUGUGCAUUUUUCAUACACUCCUAUUCUUUCAUGUGUGAUGAACUUAUGUGAGAUACAUCUCUAGAACUUGCGUAACGAUCUUUCGAAAUGUUUGUCAUUGAUUGCAUGAACUUGGAAAUGAUAGAGGCAUUAGGUUUACCACUAUGGCCCAAAUAACCAUGUUUCCCAAAGAAAAAUGAUAUCAUUAGAUUGCCAAUUUGAGCCGUGUAUGUUGAGCCUUUUAUUUCUUAUCACCAGAUAUGUCUACCCUUAUGCCUGAAACAUUUUUCCUCACCCUUUCCAAGCAAGCUAGUGAGCAAUGCGGGAUUGUCUUAUGAGAAAUGUUUGUGAAGUACUUUGAAGGUGUCUGGCAAAAGAAUAAGUGUGGGGGUAUUUCAUGUUUGUAUUUAAAAAAAAAAAAAAAAAAAAAAAAAAAAAAAAAAAAAAGAAAAGAAAAAGAAAAAGAAAGAUUGUAUACGAAAAAAUAAAUAAAUAAAUAAAUAAAUAAAUAAAAAUAAAAAGUUUUUUUUAAAAGUUUCAGUUUAAGGUUGUGGUUGGAGGUGCUAGAAGAAUUGCUGGAGAGCUUGAGUUCUUUUAAAUUUAAAGAAAAGAAUUGCUUGCAAUGUAGCUUGGAACUUGUGUUGUCCUAUUCUAUCGUUUCAAUAACCUUAUCCCUAAACCUCAUUACAUCCAAUAAAAGUCCUCUUGAUUUAAGUUUUGCAAUUAUGAUUGUGGAGAAGUGAUCUUUAUGCAAGCUUAUGGUAGAACUUUCACAUUUGAUUCUUUGAGCGAAACACAUUAAAACUAAACACAUGUGUGAUUGAGUGCAUAUCCCGUGAGAAGGUCGCUAGUUUGCAUAUGAUGAUUUUAAAAAUAAGAACUUGAAAUUACAUUAGCAUGGCUAUCUCACACACUACACUUCAAGGAUGAUUCAAAGAUUACUGCUAAUAUUUGAAUAAGGAAGAUGAACUUGGAUUAGUUCCUUGAUGCUAGCUAUGGUUCUUGAUGAUUUGUUUUCUUGAAUGAAAUUCUAUGAGGGUCACAUAAAGGGAAGCUAAUGUUUUUGUUACUUCUUGUUCUUGUUUUCUUUGUUUUGCUCGAGGACUAGCAAAAGCUAAGUGUGGGGGUAUUUGAUCGGAUCAUAUUUAUAUAUAUUUUUACUUCGAAUUCACUCGUCUUUUCUUAGUUAGUUCCUUAUAUUUUUGAGCUAUUUACGUUAUUUUUGUGUUUAUAGGAUUUGUUAUGCAAAGAAAAUAAAAUAGAACAAGUGAAAUUUUAUGUAAUGAAUUCAUUAGUAAGUAACCGUGUAUUAAAGUUGACAUUAUGUAGCAUGUUAUGUUGUCUCCAAGGUGUCUUACAUGCUUCAACAUAUAACUACAGUGUCAUUCGUUUGGCCAUUAUACAAAAUUGUAUGAUCAUUAAAUCUACAAAGAUUGCGUACAAAUAAUGAAUUGUGAGUAUUGCUUUUAAGACAGGUAGACAAUGUAGGGUAUUUUUGACCGGUGCUGCUCUUUUAUGUCAGAGGAAUGAAGAGGGCUGCCUUUGCAGCUGGCCAGAGAAAAAGAGGAAAGAAUAAAAUCAAAGGAAGAAAAGCAUACGGGGAGACAGGAGAGAUAAGAAUCCAAGGAGAGACUUGCGAGGUGCAGGAGAGGGGGAGGGACACGGCAUAAUUGGGAAGAAAGUGGAAAGCACUGAGGAAUUAAAUAGAAGGAGUGGAGAGACAGCGUGGGCAAUAGAGAAAAGCAGAAAACGUGAAAAGAAAUUGAGGGAGAGAUGAGUGAGAGACAGCUAGGAGGGCAGAGACGUGCGCAGCAACAGAAAAAUAAAAUAAAAAAAAGAUAGAGGAAAGCUGCCUUUGGGCAGCAUGAGCGC
rnacentral:lncRNA from 1 species